rnacentral:tRNA from 1 species
CGGGCAGUAGCUCAACGGAAGAGUGCGGUUCUUAUAAGAUCGCGGUUGUGGGUUCGACUCCCACCUGCCCCACCA